rnacentral:lncRNA from 1 species
UAAUAGAUGAUAUAUUUUUUUUCACUUAAUUUGAAGCUGAUUCUUAUUUUUUAAAUGAUAACCAUUAAGCAAGAAAAAUACAUAUUUUAUUAUUAGAUAUAGAAUACAUAUAUUAACAAUAACCGCUGGUAGCUUUUUCGGCCUUCUAUAGAGCCUAGUCUGUACGAGAGAUGAUAAAUCUAAGAAAAUCGUUUUGUUUUUUUUUUUAAAUAAAGACCAUUACAAUAGCAUGCUUGAAGACUUCAUUAGGGAAAGUACGUCGGAAGAAGUGGACCAAGAUCCGACGAAUACGCUACAAAGAGAAGUCAUCAAACUAAAUAAGAACCUUAGACUCCCGAAAUUUUUCAGAAGCACAGUUGUCCAAGCGCUAGCUUGCUCUCGCCAGUUCGGUUUCCCUAAAUUGCAUAAAACUCCGGAUAUAGCAAGACUCAUUGUGGAAAAAUUUCGAUUCCCGUGGUACCAUACACAGAAGAAAGUGGCCGCAUAGUGCGCGGAACGCAUGAAAGGAUACGAGUACAGUCUUUACUCAACUCAGGAGUUCAUAGAUACUCUCGACACUUUAGGUCCUUUCCCCAAGAAAUGAUGCUAUAUUUGAUUACGAGUCUCUUUAUCCCACGAUAAAGAUAGAACCCGUUUAUCUGGAGCUAUACAGAUUUAUGAUAAAAAUAUCUACCCCCAAAGUCUAAUAAGGAAAUGAUCAAGGCAUUUGCCACUUAUUAUGCCACGAAUCCUACUUUAUUUUCAGAGAGAAAUUGUAUAUGCAGAAAAGAGGAAUACCGAUUGGUAGCCCACUAGCAUGUGUUCUAGCUGAACUCAUUUUAAGAAAAAAGGAAGAUGUUCUUCCGGUUUUGUUACCGAAAAUCAAGAUUUACAGACGCUAGCCUACAUAAAUGAUGUGUUCGUUUCGCACAAAAGAACGGUAGAAGACAGUACAAUUGAAGAUCUGUUCACGGACUCUGAAUUAAGUAAUAAAUUAAAGCUUGAAAGGAAAAACGACGUAGCUAUAAACUAUUUGGAUAUUAUGAUCAUGAUUAAGAGAGGAGAAUACUACACCGAAGUCUAUAGAAAACAUAUAUAUACACUGAAAGUUAGACCAAAUACCGAUGCUCAACAUUGUUUCUCUUCGUGGCCAUUGUGAGCCAACCGCGGUGCGUUGUGGGCAACUCCGCCUAAGCCAACAUCCUG